rnacentral:rRNA from 1 species
ACACGAGAGACUCUAACCUUGCUAAACUAGUACAGUUGCAAUUGUUAUGUGGACCUCUGUCCCUUGUGCCUCUGGUGCAGAGACGGAACCACAUAAGCAGGUGAAACUUCUUAGAGGAACUGGCGCCCGAAAAGGCGCACGAGAAAGAGCAAUAACAGGUCUGUGAUGCCCAUAAGAUGUCCGGGGCCGCACGCGUGCUACAAUGACGAUGCUACUGAGCAUGAUUUACUUGUCCGAAAGGAUUGGUGAAACUGUUCAAUCAUCGUCGUGACUGGGAUUGAGGUUUGUAAUUAUCCCUCAUGAACCAGGAAUUCCUAGUAAGCACAAGUCAUAAGCUUGUGCUGAUUACGUCCCUGCCCUUUGUACACACCGCCCGUCGCUACUACCGAUUGAAUGGUUUAGCAAGGACAUUGGAUCGAGCCUUUGCGGUUCACGCUGCUUUGGUUUGAGAAGAUGUCCGAACUUGAUCAUUUAGAGGAAGUAAAAGUCGUAACAAGGUUUCCGUAGGUGAACCUGCGGAAGGAUCAUUA